rnacentral:rRNA from 1 species
GGACGAACGCUGGCGGCGUGCCUAACACAUGCAAGUUGAGCGACGAACCAGGGCUUGCCCUGGGGCAAAGCAGCGAACGGGUGAGUAACACGUGGGUAACCUACCCCGAUAACCGGGACAACCCGAGGAAACUCGGGCUAAUACCGGAUGUGCUCACUGGACUUCGGUUCAGUGCGUAAAGGAAGCUUCGGCCUCCGUAUUGGGAGGGGCCCGCGGCCCAUUAGUUUGUUGGUGAGGUAACGGCUCACCAAGACCGCGAUGGGUAGCUGGUCUGAGAGGACGAUCAGCCACACUGGGACUGAGACACGGCCCAGACUCCUACGGGAGGCAGCAGUGGGGAAUCUUGCGCAAUGCGCGAAAGCGUGACGCAGCAACGCCGCGUGGGGGAAGAAGGCCUUCGGGUUGUAAACCCCUUUCAGGAGGGACGAAGGUUCGGCGGUGAAUAGCCGUCCGGACUGACGGUACCUCCACAAGAAGCCCCGGCUAACUACGUG